ACCAUGUAUUGAUUGUGAAGUUCAUACGGAAUAUAUAUCAACAAGGUCUUGGUACCAUCCGAUGAACUUGUUUUAGAAAAAGAACGAGACGUUCGUCGACAUACCCCUGGUUCCUCAACAUUCUGUCCAGGCAUUGGUGACGAUUUACAAUGUCUGGGUAGCAGCUGCAGUGUCUUCAAUACUGAAUAAGUUAGGAAAUGUAUAUCCAAAAUGCAGGUGAAGUUGGUAUAUUUAUACUAAGGUGAAAGAAAUUGAUAAUUUCAAAAUGAAAAUCGUCUCGUUUGUUAUAGAUUCUGGUAUUGAGUUAACUGUAUAUGUCAUAUUCCAGGUAUCAGUCUAAACAAGAGGCUCUCAUGGGCCCGAAUCGAUCACCUGUAUUUUUUGGCUUAAAUCUUUCAUUAAGGAUUAAUUUUGCAUUUC
rnacentral:lncRNA from 1 species